AGGCGUACAGCACCAGCCGGCAGCCACCAGCACGGCACCAGCUGACCAGCAGAUAAACAGGCGUAGUGCAGUACAGCACCAGCACACGGCAGCACUCCAGGAAGGCAGGAACCGAACCAAGAUUAUUACACACAGCGGCAACAACAGUAGAUAAACAGCAGUACAACACCAACACGGCAGCACUCCAGUAGACCAGUAGACAACAAUUUCAGUUUGAGUUUGCACUUUGCAGUCAGCUGAGUCCUUGACACUUUGAGAGCACACGCCUGGCAGCCUGCAAUCUCCUGCAGUCCUGCUUAACAAUAUGGCAAUAUCAAUACACUUAUACACCAUCCAACUAUGUGAAAUAAAUUCCCAUACCAUUAUCAAGAUUCAAUAGUAGUCCCCUCCUUCGAAAUGGUAAGGCCACCAAUAUCUGUACAGUUGCAUUCUCAAUAAGUACAUAAAAUAUGUUUGAUUAAAUAUAUUCAGAACUAGUUUUAUAGUUUGUACCUUCCUCAAGCUUAGCCAUUUCUUCGGUAUUCUCUUCAACAUUAAUAAUGUUGGAUCCACGAAUCCAAUCAUUGGCACAAAUCAAGCACAUAAGAAUGUGAGGUUGGUUUACAAAUAUAUUCUCAAAUAUAUUCUCUUCGGUAUAAAUAUAUUCUCUUCAACAUUAAUAAUCAUUGGAUCCACGAAUCCAAUCAUUGGCACAAAUAUAUUCUCUUCGGUAUUCUCCCCCCAAUAUUUAUAAUAUUUUGCAAUCAUUCUCUUGCCCAUUUCAGCACAUAAGUUGUCUUCGCUACGACACCACUCUCGCAAUAAAACUAAAACAUCAGCAAUCUCGUGGAAGUAAGAAUGUGAGGUUGGUUUACUUGUGACUGAAACACGAAGGGUAAGUUCAUAGAAGUGCUCUAGGAAUUCAGCCAUUUUUCUUGCCUUUUCGUUCCCAAUCUGAUUUCUCAGGAACACCAAGGCCAUUUUCACCUUCUAAAUCUAGCCUAUAGUAUGGAUCUUCAUCACUAUACCUUUCAAAUGCCUUUUCAUAUUGUUGUGCAAUAUUUAGCAUAAGGUAUGUUGAAUUCCACCUAGUGCAAACAUCAAGGGUUAAAAAUGCUUUGGUCUGUACUUUUGCUAAUUCAGCACAUUUCUUAAAUUUGACUAGCCUAGAUGGUCCAGCCUUGACAAACUUAACAGCUGCCCGGACACGACUAAUUGAUUUGUCUAUUUCCUUUAGUCCAUCGGUGACUAUCAAAUUAAUAAUAUGGGCAACACAUCUCAUGUGCAGGUAUUCUCCUCCAGCAAUGCAACCUUUUGAUUCAUUCAAAACCCUCUUCAUGUACUUAAUUGCAUUAUUGUUUGCACUAGCAUUAUCAACUGUUAUUGUCAAAACCUUAUCAAUUCCCCAUUCUGCUAGGCAACUCUCUAAGGAUUUUCCAAUGUCUUCGCCCCUAUGUCCUUUUACCAAGAAAAAACCAAUGAUUUUCUUGUGGAGCUUCCAUUGGUUAUCAAUAAAAUGUGCCGUUACACACAUGUAAUUUUGGUUGGUAUUAGAUGUCCAUGUGUCAGUGGUGAGGCUUACGCGCUGACAAUGUUCACCUAAAAACUUCUUAAGCUUCUCUUUUUGGACAUCAUAUACUUUCACAACUGCUCUAGUAGCUGUUCUUCUAGAGGGCAAAAUGAAACGUGGGCAUGCUUUGGCCAAAAAUUUUCUAAGCCCGGGACGCUCAGGCAAAACAAAAGGUUGUUCAUCUUCAAUAAUCAUUUCAGCAAAACUAUUCCUUAGAUCAUCAGCAUCGAAUUUCCAAGUUGAAACAGUACCAACACUACUGUUUUCUUGACUAGGUUGCAAUUGCAAAGUUCCUUGAUUAUCAACUACCUUUUUGUUUGGAUUCUUUUUGCAUAUUUUCAAAUGAGAUUUCAUGGAGGACGUACCAUUUAUUUUUGGGCCACAGCGAAACAAUUUUGCACAAUACUUGCACUUGACUCUUUCAUCCCCAUUAUCAAGUUUAACCUUGCUGAAGUGCUCCCAUGCAUCAGAUCUUUGAGCAAUAGCUUUCCUUUUCUUGCACUCUCCAUCCUUCUCUACAUCUACCACCUCAGUGACUUGGUUUGCAACAGUUUCACCAGUGACUUGGUUUGCAAUGGUUUCAUUAGUGUCCCCCAUCUAUACAUUAAUACACGACAAAAAAAAUCAAAAUAAAUUGGUAACGGCAAAAAAUGGGUGAGAAGAAGACAUACAUUGGAGGAACACUCCGUUCUGGCCGCCGUCGCCGUGUGCUAGAGAAACGCCGCCUCUGUCUUGAAUCUUGAUGCCGGACGCGCGCUUGAGCUUGACGGUGCCGUGCUGCAGAUGCUUGUGUGGCGUGCUGCAGCUUGCGUGGCGUGCUGCAGAUGCUUGACGGUGCCGGUCUGCCGGACGCGCGCUUGAGCAGUUGAGCAGCUGAAGUGCAGAUGCAGAGAUCACCUUGAGCUAGACGGCGUGCUGCUGAAGUGCAGAUGCAGAGAUGCUUGCAGAUGCUUGCCGGGCGCGUAAUCCACUUGCCUGGGUGGCUGCUGGUGGUGUCGUGGUGCCGUGGUGGAGAACAGGAGAAGCGCUGUGCGCCCGUGCCGGCGUGUCGCCGUCCGCCGCCGCAGCCCACAGCCUACUGCCUUUCGCCCUUUCUGACUCUAGCGUCUCGGUGUCUCCUAGGGGCUAGGGUUGGCCCUUGGCCGGUUGCCGUCGAUUACUAGUGCAAAUAGACAGGCUUCGGUUGGUGGCUUACAUGGGCUGUGGAGAGAACAAUAUUCAGAUGGUGGGCUGGCUGCCUGGCUUAGUGGCUUACAUGGGCUGUUCGGUUUGCUCGGUAUUUCGGUUCGGUACAGUACAAAAACCGAUUACAAUACCGUGUACCGAACUUCACAGUUUUAAAAACCGAAACCGAACCGAAAUACCAAAAAAACCGAAAUUUCGGUACGAUUCGGUUCGGUUCGGUACGGUUUUUGGUAUAUGGUAAAAAUGUGCCCAGCCCUAGAGGUAACGCCGAGUGACUGGAGGGCUGCGUGGGCCACUUUGAGGAUAAUAGCCGAGUGAUGAUGUGGCGCAGCAGUGUUCUGGAAAUAACUGCCGGGUGAUCACAUGGCACGCUGGUGUUUUGGAAAUAACCGCCGGGUGCUGACUGGACGCUUUUUGAAACGGUAUCUGGCUCAGGAAUAUCCCAUAAGUGCUGUGCUUUUAGCCGCCUCUGCUUUCCGUGCCCUAGUUCUUGCUUUCUCGCUUCCGAAUCCUCUCUGUAAUUCGCCUCCCACUCUGCUCGCCGGUAGAAUCGAGAUGGCGCCCAAGAGGAAAGCCUCGAGUUCGUCUACCGUGGUGAUUCGUCCAAUCGACCCCAACAGCCAGUUGCCUUUCGCAGGUAACCACAUGUCCGUCAUCUCUGAGCCCGAACUUCUCCACCUCAUGUCCAUCGGGGUUCUUCCUCCACGGGAACUCUGUUCUUGGCGGAUUUGCCAUGGGGUUACUGUCCCAACUGAGGAUACCCAUGAGUCCGUUGUUUAUGCUCCUUUCCUUCUCCGCGGCCUUGACCUUCCCAUUUCUCCCUUUUUCCGCGGCCUCCUUGAUUUCUACCAUCUUAACUUGACUCAUCUGAAUCCCAAUUCUAUCCUGCAAAUCUCCAUUUUCGUUCAUUUAUGUGAGGCCUUUCUUGGCGUGCUGCCACAUUUCGGGUUGUGGAAGUACUUGUAUCACUAUCGCCCUGGGAUGGCCGGGGGACAACAUCAGUUGGUUGGGGGUGCCAGCUUGGAGAUGCACCGCGGGAGGAAAACUGAGUAUCUCGAAAUCCUUCUCAAAGACAGUAUCGAGGGAUGGCGCUUGGAGUGGUUCAUAGUUGAGAAUUAUGGAAAUUCUCUCCCCCCCCCCCGGUCGGGAAGACAGCCGGAUGUUCGCACCCCAAGCUGGACCGAGUCUCCCACAGAUCAGGAGGUAGCUGAGGCAGGUGCGUUGCUAGCUGAAGUUGGAUUGCUGAAAGAGAAGGGUCUGACUGCUGAAGCUGUGGUUGCUGAUUUUGUCUUCAAGAAUAUUCAGCCGUUGAAAGACAGGGCGUACCCAGCUUAUCUGUAUCGAGGUCUAGCCGACUCAACUCGGGUUACCAACAGAAGAAUUCCCUCUGCAGACUUGGUGAGCCGACUUGAGAUGAUCCUUAGAGGCAAAGUGUCAAAUGUUGGUGCCCCAGUGGCAUACUCGGCCUGGAACCUGCCUCCUCCUAAAGCCUUCACCCUUUUUGUGUCGAAUCCACCUGUCACUGAUGGCGGUUUGGGCCUUAGAGUGCGGCCCUCUGCUAAAGAAGUUAGUGCCUUGGUUGCCUCGCUCGGGGAGAUUCCUGAUGAUGAACGGCAGGUCCAUUUUGAGGUGCCCCUCAAUCCUAGUGAUGCAGAGAUAAGCGCCAUGCUUGACUUGCUGGCUGAGAACUCUUCUGACGCUGCUCCUGCUGGGGCAUUGGUAGUGGCGCCCCUCCCAGAGGCUGAUACAACCUUGGAUACUCAGAAGCCUGCCAGUACUCGCCCGAGGCGCCCUUGCCGAGCCAGUCAACCUGAUCCUUCUGCUGAUGAGCAGAAAAAGAAAAAGGGACGCCUCCGGCGAGUAUCCAGUUUGGAUCGGGACAUUGGUACCUCGGUUCCUGCUGCUGAAGAAGUGUCUGUGACUGAAUUUACUGACGCUGACCCCAAUGGGUGUACCCAGUCUGUUGCUGAUCCCAAUGUGAGUGUUCCAUCUGUUGCUGAUCCCAAUGGGGGUGCUGCCUGUGUUGCUAAUGUGGACGACGAGGAGGAAGAAGAUGAAGUUCCUUUGACUCGGAAAAACAGUCGGCAGUUCAUCGCUAGCGGUGAAAGUAGUGGGGUUCCCUCUCCUACUUUGUCUGCUCUCAUUGGUCUGCAAGAACUGUCCCUGGCCAACUUUGAUCAGACUCUUGAGGAUAUGGUUCCAGAGGAUUUGUUAUCGGAGCCAGUGGAUGAUGGCGUGAUGGAGGUUUGUGUUGAUGUGCUUGAUGCUGGGUUGAGAUCAUCCCGUGCCUCGUCGACCUUGGAGCGCGAUCUCGAGGGUCGGGAGACUGACUUGGAUCAUCCUGGUCCCAUGGAAGUAACUGAGGGCCCCUCAGCCUUAGAAGUGGCUACCGCAGAGAACUUGGACCCCAAGGAUGGUGUUGACACAUGCCCAUCCCCCGAGGUUGUCGCCAGGGAUGACUUGGUUCGGGUGGGAAGUGUAAGCCACUGCCCAGCCCCCGAGGGUGCUGCCGGGGAUGAUCCGGCUCAAGUGGGCAGUGCAAACUAUGACCCAGCCCCCGAGGGUGUCCGAGCGGGGUCUCCCUCCUGUACUUCCAUGGACGUUCAUGCGGGAUCGCCUCCACACUCCGGAUGUAUGGUGGUAGCCCAAGCCUUGGACCAGGGAGUCGCUUUAGAGGGUAGCGUCCCCGCUGACCGAGUGUUGGGCCCUGUUGAUGGCACCGAGCUGAUUCCUGCUGGUUUGUUGCAAGCUGCUUCGAGUGGUGGCCUUACGCCUGGUUAUCAAUUGAUCUCUCCUGAUUUGGGGAUCCCUUCGUUCUUUUCCAACCUCCAGGUACUGUGAUGUAUUUUAGCUUGGUUUUUACAUUGCAUGAACUGCUGUCGUUGCACUCAUCUGUUCUUCUCAUCAGGCUUUGGUGGAUGGGAUGGCUAGCCAGCUGAGGUUACAGGGUGCUUUUGUCCCAGAAGUAGCUUCGUCUCUUGCAUGUUGGAAUCCAGUGUCACUUCAACAUCGUGUCUCUGAAUUGGAGGCAACCAACGCUGGUUAGUGCUUUUUUUUGCUUCUCUAUGUCUUCACUGUGGACUGCUUUACAUUCUGACCCCUUUUUGUUUGAUUGUCUCCUGGUAGGAAUGACUCGGCAGAUUUCCACUCUUGAGGAAAAACAUUCCCGAGAUCAGGCUGAAUUGGUCCAACGGUGCACUGACUUUGAGGAAAAGUACUCUCGAAGCCAGAUUGAACUGGGUCAGGUCUCCGCUGCCUUAGAUGACGCCAAUGCACUGAGUUCUUCUCUUCACGCUCAACUCAAUUCUGAAAAGGUGAUUUAUGGAACUGUGCUUUGCCUUGUUGUGCUCCUAUUACUUGCUUGGUGUUUGAGGGAGUUGACUUUUGUUUGCAGGAAGAAAAACGUAUCCUCGCUGCUUCUCGCGACAGUCUUGACAGAUUGUAUCGUGAUUCUAGCAACUCGCUGACUAUCCUGGAGAGGAGUCAUCGCUUUACCAUGGAAGAGUUAGACAACCAACGCUGUAAGCUGCAGGAAUCCACGGAUGAGGUGACCCGGCUCAAGCAGUUGAUAUCAGCGAAGGACGCUACUAUCAAAGAGCUUCGGGCUUCCAAGAAAUCCAUCGCCCAAGAGUUAGAAACCGCUCGGCUGGCUGCCAAGGUUGCCGAAGAAACUUCUGUUACUCUCAGAGCCCAGCGCGACAGAGCCAUGGACAAGGCUAUUCGGGCGGGGCGAAUCUUGAUGAGGAGACCCGGCGUGGUUGUUCCCGAAGAUAUAAGGGCUGAUGUGAAUGCUGCCCCUGAUUCCUCGAGUCGUCCUUCCUCAUCGACUGCUCCUGAGAAAAAUAUCACCAAGUAGAGAAACAUUUUGCGUGCUUUGAGCGCGCGGUUAGCAUGGUCAGACAUUUGUUAGAGGACGCCAUUUCAGUAUUUAAACGACAUUGUUAUUUUCAUAUUGUUUCAGAAUUCAUUAGUUCGUAAAUUUGCAGUGGUAAAAUGAUGCGCGAUGGUUAUGAAAUUUGUUUGCGGGAUAUAGAAGUCAUCCUUAUAUGAGUAAUUGUAAUCACGUCAGGUCGCCUUAAGUCGCUGCUGACUUAAGUCGAUUGCUUUUGUUAAUAGGGCGUAGUGGUCACCCUGAAUUGCGUAGGCGUGAGCAUGUUGCACCGCCUUAAGUCGUUGUCGACUUAAGCCGAUUGCUCCGUUAGCAGGGCAUAGUGGUCACCCCGAGAUAAGUAAGCGCGAGCAUGUUGCACCGCCUUAAGUCGUUGCCGACUUAAGCCGAUUGCUCCGUUAGCAGGGCAUAGUGGUCACCCCGAGUUAAGUAAGCGCGAGCAUGUUGCACCGCCUUAAGUCGUUGCCGACUUAAGCCGAUUGCUCCGUUAGCAGGGCAUAGUGGUCAUCCCGAGUUAAGUAAGCGCGAGCAUGUUGCACCGCCUUAAGUCGUUGCCGACUUAAGCCGAUUGCUCCGUUAGCAGGGCAUAGUGGUCACCCCGAGUUAAGUAAGCGCGAGCAUGUUGCACCGCCUUAAGUCGUUGCCGACUUAAGCCGAUUGCUCCGUUAGCAGGGCAUAGUCGUCACCCCAAGUUAAGUAAGCGCGAGCAUGUUGCACCGCCUUAAGUCGUUGCCAACUUAAGCCGAUUGCUCCGUUAGCAGGGCAUAGUGGUCACCCCGAGUUAAGUAAGAAUGCAAGUCAAUCGUGGACAAACUGAGUAUCUUUGAAACCCCUUUUUUAUUGAUGACAUAUUUCCAUUUUACAGAGUACAUCGUCGUCCCGGUAGCUUUUGAAAUACAGCUAGGGAUAAAACUUUCUGAGGUGUUCUAUGUUCCAGGAGUUCCCGACUUCUGUGCCAUCCAUCUGAGUGAGACGGUAUGAUCCGGGCCGAGUGACUUCUGCUACUAUGAAGGGUCCUUCCCAUAAGGGCGAUAACUUGUGUCGUCCUUCCCCCGUUAGAAUUCGGAGGAGGACGAGAUCUCCUACUGAGAAGGAUCGCUGUCGCACAGCCUUGUCGUGAUAGCGCCUUAGAGUCUGCUGGUACCGUGACGAUUGAAUUACCGCAUUCAGCCGUUCUUCUUCAAGUAUAUCAAUGUCCUCCAGCCUGGUGGCCUCGGCUUCUGCUAUGUUUUCGAAGAUCAACCUUGGCGCCCCGAACUUGAGAUCGGUGGGUAGCACUGCCUCCGACCCAUAGACCAUGAAGAAAGGAGUGUUUCCAUGCAGAGCUCGGAUAGGUUGGGUUCUUAGGCUCCAAAUGACAUAAGGCAAUUCCCUUAUCCACUUUCCUGCGAAUUUUUCAUUCUUAUCGAAGACCUUUUUCCUGAGUGCCUCCAGUAUCAUCCCGUUGGCUCGCUCAACCUGCCCGUUGGCUCUUGGAUGUGCUACAGAUGCGUACUUGAUCUGAAUGCUUUUUUGCUCGCAGAAGUCGAAGAACUCUGAACUUGUGAAGUUGGAUCCUAGGUUAGUUAUGAUGCUGUUUGGUAUCCCGAAUCUGAAUAUUAUGUCUUGUAUGAAUUUCACGGCCUUAGUAGAGGUUAAAGAAGCAAUGGGCUUGAACUCUAUCCAUUUAGUGAAUUUGUCGAUUGCUACCAAUACAUGAGUGCAUCCUCCUUGAGCUUUCUUGAAAGGUCCAAUCAUAUCCAGUCCCCAGCAUGCGAAAGGCCAAGUUACUGGUAUGGUCUGUAGUUGCUGUGCUGGCAGAUGUUGUUGUUUUGACAAGUAUUGGCAAGCUUCGCACCUCUGAACUAACUCGGCUGCAUCACUCUUCGCUGUUGGCCAAUAGAAUCCUGACCUGAAGACCUUCCCGACUAGUGUUCUGGAUGCUGCAUGUAUUCCACAUUGCCCAGCAUGGACCUCCUCCAGAAGCCGCUUCCCAGUAGAUGAGAGAAUGCACUUCAUGAGGAUGCCUGAUGCACCUCUUCUGUACAAUGUCUCCCCAAUGAGUGUGUAGUGAGCCGAUUGUCUGGCAAGGCGCUCGGCUGAAUUCUUGUCAUCUGGUUCCUCUUCAUUCUUUAUAUACUUGAUGAUUGGCCUUCUCCAGUCAUCAGAGUCUGACUCGGGUUGAUCUAUAAUAUUACACUCUUCUGUUUGAUCCAUUGAGAUGCUCGGCUAUAGUACUUCUUGCACAAAGACUCCAGGUGGGACCUGAGUUCGACUGGAUCCUAGCUUGGACAAUACAUUGGCUGUUGUGUUCCGAUCUCUUUCUACAUGAUGAAAUUUCAGACCCUCGAAUUUAUCUUCCAGCUUUCGGACGACAGUGCAGUAUUUUCCCAUUGAAUCACUUGAACAAUCCCACUCUUUGUUUAUCUGGCUAAUGACUACCAGAGAGUCUCCGUACACCAUCAAUCUCUUGAUGCCCAAUGAUAUGGUGAUGUUCAAUCCAUGGAUCAAAGCUUCAUACUCGGCUGCAUUGUUGGAGGCCGGAAAUAGCAACUGGAGGGCAUAUUUGAGGUGCUCGCCUCCAGGUGCGGUGAAGAGAAUUCCCGCUCCUGCUCCCUGUAAUUUCAGCGAGCCAUCAAAAUACAUUCGCCACACUUCUGCAGUCUCUGGGUUAUCUGGUACUUGCUGUUCAGUCCACUCUGAUACGAAAUCAACCAGUGCUUGAGUUUUGAUGGCAGUACGAGGUCGGAAUUCGAUGUCAUGAGAUCCCAGCUCACAAGCCCACUUGGCUAUUCGGCCAAUGGCUUCCUUGUUGUGAAGAAUAUCCCCUAUCGGAAAGCCAGUGACUACUAUGACUUUGUGGUCAUCAAAGUAGUGACGUAGCUUGCGGGCAGUUAGAAGUACUACAUAUAAUAGCUUCUGAACUUGAGGAUACUUUUUCUUUGAGGGGCCUAGAACUUCACUGAUGAAAUAAACAGGAUGUUGCACUGGGUAGCCAUGUCCUUCUUCUGCUCGCUCGACUACCAACGCGGUGCUUACCACGUGGGUCGUGCAAGAGAUAUACAGUAGCAGAUCUUCAGCCGGUUGAGUUGACGUAGCUCGUCGAGGUGGCUUCAGUACUGGUGGUGUUGUCUAGAAUUUCUUCAGUGCGUCUAGAGCCUCCUGUGCCUCUGAAGUCCACUGAAACUUAUCCACCUUCUUGAGUAGCUUGUAAAAUGGUAAACCUUUUUCCCCCAGCCUGGAUAUAAAUCUGCUCAGAGCUGCCAUACAUCCAGUAAGUCGCUGAACCUUCUUUUGUGAUCGGGGUGCUUCCAUCUUCAUGAUAGCUUCAAUCUUAUCCGGAUUAGCCUCAAUUCCCCGGUGGCUGACAAUAAACCCGAGUAACUUUCCUGCUGGUACCCCGAAAACACAUUUUUCGGGAUUAAGCUUCCAUCUAUACCGUCUCAGGCUGUUGAAAAUCAGCUGUAAGUCUUCGAUGAAGUUUUCUGAAUUCUCUGUUUUGAUUACCACAUCAUCUACGUAGGCUUCCACACGCUUGCCCCAGUGAUCGGCUAAGCACGUUUGAAUGGCUCUCUGAUAAGUCGCUCCAGCGUUCUUGAGGCCGAACGGCAUGGAGGUAUAACAGAAAGCACCAAACGGAGUGAUGAACGCUGUUUUUUCCUCGUCUUCCUUCGCCAAACUAAUCUGAUGGUAUCCGGAAUAGCAAUCCAAGAAAGACAGCACAGAACAUCCAGCGGUGGAGUCCACCACCUGAUCUAUCCUUGGGAGCCCGAAGGGAUCCUUCGGACAGUGUUUGUUGAGAUCAGUAUAGUCGACGCACAUGCGGCAAUCCACUUUAUUCUUUUUGAGUACAAGAACAGGGUUGGCUAACCACUCGGGGUGUAACACCUCUCUAAUAAAUCCAGCCGCGACCAAGCGAGCUAACUCGGCGCGAAUGGCCUCUCUCUUGUCGGGCGUGAAACGACGUAGCUUUUGCGGAAUCGGCCUUGCCUGGGGAUAGACCUUCAGUUUGUGCUCGGCCAGUUCUCUUGGGACUCCCGGCAUAUCCGCAGGUUGCCAUGCGAAUACAUCUCGGUUAUCUUGCAGAAACUGGACGAGCGCGCUUUCCUAUUUGUCGUCCAGGCUGGAGCUGAUGAUGGCAGUUUUGCGUUCAUCAGCGAACCCCAGGUUGAUCCUCUUGGUUUCUUCAGUCGGCCGCAUAGAGGUCGCGGCCUGAGCUUCGUUUGCCGGUACUGCAAGGUCCUCCUCAGGCUUAGAGUUCGCCUGUGUUGAAGAAACCGUCGACGGCUUGGUGGUGAGGGCUACUUGGAUGGCCACUCGGAAACACUCUGCAGCGCCUUGGAAGUCAGCGCGCACAGUUAUGAUUCCUUGCGGUCCUGGCAUCUUCAGUAUCAUGUACGUGUAAUGUGGAAUGGCCAUGAAUUUGGCCAAUCCUGGCCUCCCGAUGAUGGUGUUGUACCCGCAGUCGAAGUUCGCCACUUCGAACCUCAGGAACUCGGUUCUGUAGUUCUCCGGAGUUCUGAAGGUGACAGGCAUGUAGAUGUGGCCCAGCGGGUAUUCCCCUUCCGUCGGCACGAUGCCGAAGAAAGGAGUGUCCGACUCAUGGAGCUCUUUGAGGUGAACUCCCAAGCCUUGGAGUGUCCGGGGGAAGGUGACGUUGAUGCUGCUUCCCCCGUCCACUAGCACCUUCUUCACCCGGCUCUCUCGGAUCACCGGAUCGACGAGGAGCGGGUAUUUGCCUGGAUGGUCGAAGUUGAGCCAUUGAUCUUCCCGAGUGAAAGUGAUCGUGUGCUCCGACCACCGGUAUGGGGCGGGAGGACCAGUGGUCGCCACUAGUAUCUGGCGGUCGUUGAGCUUUUGUUGUCUUUUGUUCUCCUGCGACCCGUGCCCACCGAAGAUGACGUUGACCUCCCUGUCAACGCGCGGGAAAGCUCCUGCUGCUCCCUCCUCCUGCUGAUGGGGUUGUCGUGGUUCAUCUGGUCCUCCCCUCGGCGGAGGAGGAGGUAGAGGUUGGAAGGGUCGGUCGUGCCCGACGGAGUGCUUGAAGUCCCGGCAGUUACGAAGAGUGUGGCGCAUGUCCUUGUGGUACGGGCAUUGGGCAUCGAGGAUGUCGUCCAGUGUGCGCUCGCCUCCGCGAGGUCCUCCUCGGGCGCGAGAGGCAGGUGGUCCGGCGGCGUGUACUUCUUCGCGAGGCCUCUUCUCCCAGCGUUUGUCGGGUUGCUGGUUCGCGUCGCGUCGUGGUGCUACCGGUGCGGGCUUUGCUCCUCCGAUGAGGUCCUGGGCCCGCUCGUCGGCGGUGAUGUAGAGGUCGGCUUCCUGGAACAGCUCCUCGGAAGUAGUCGGCGCCUUCUGUAAUAUGGCUCGGAUGAAAGCCGAGUCAUUGGAUCCUCGGUAGAAGUCCUCAAUCACGGUCGCCUCCGUGACCUCGGGGAUACGAUUUCUCAUGGUCUGGAACCUUUUGAGGUACGACCGGAGAGUUUCGUCUCCCCGGCGCUUGAUGGAUUUGAGGUCCCACGGUUGCGCCGGUUUGUCGGAGAGAGACUGGAAAUUGGCGGUGAAGCGUCGACUGAAGUCGCCCCAGUCGUCGAUGCAGUGUCCGGGUAGAUGUCGCAGCCAUUGCAGCGCGUCUUGCCCAAGGACAAUGGGUAAGUACACGGUCAUCACGUCUUCGGACGCCCCGGCAGCUCGAGCAGCGGUGGUGUAGACGGCUAGCCAACCCCCUGGAUCCUGCUUAGGUUCAUAUUUGUCGACAUUGGAUACCUUGAAGUUGGGAGGCCAUUGGAUGGCCCUGAGGCGCGGAGUCAGAGCAGACACUCCGCAUGUGUCCUCCUGUCGUCGGGGAUGAUGUCUGUCCCGGGGAGGGGAGUAGUUGUUGUGGUUCCUCGACCGUCCCCGGGUAGUACCGCCAGUUGAGGCCGUUGUCGACUCAGUUCUGGUGCCCUGGCUCCGAGCUGGGAUGCCAUGAUCCCUGUCGUACUCCUCCCGGCGGCGGGUCUCGUUCUCAUGCCGCCGUUCACGCGAAGCAUUGAUGGAGCUUCGCGCGUCCCGGCGAAUGUUGAUGGCGUGUCGUAGAUCGUUCGGCGGGUGAGCAAGCGGUAGAAGAUGGUUGGCCGCCUGGGUGAACAGUCGUCGGUAGCCCUCGGCGUCGGGAGUCCGAGGGAGUCCAUCAGCUAUCCGAGCUAGUACUCCUCCGACUUCGCUCGGCGUAUUCAUGGCUCGGGCGAAGUCGGGGUUCAGGUUGCGCCCGAAGAAUGGAUUCUCCCGACGUUGCCUUGCAUCUUGCUCGGCUUGUUCCUGAGCCCGGCGGUGAUCACGUCGUCGGGAGUUCCUUCGUUCUCUGAAGACGCGUUCUUCCGGAGUUUCUCCUAUCUCCGAGACCUCGUCUCGCAAGACAGGUUGCUCCGGAUCCCGUUCUCCGGCCGCGUGAUGUCGUCGAAUGUUCCUGCGCCGGUUCCUCCGUCGGCGGGAUUCUCGUUGAGGCGGUUCUUCUCCGAGUGCGGUCGGCUCGUCGUCGGAGACGGUGGGCGACUCCACUCUCCCGAUGAAGAGGACGUCGGGGUAGAAUGGUGCUGCUGUCGUGGCGACCUUCUUUCCGUUCUCCUUUGAGAGCGGAGGAACGGAAAGAACAACUUGCUUCCCCUUGGUCUCCUUCUUCCUCGCGAUCUGUGUCCAUUCUUUUGUCGGGGAAGUAGACAGUGGAGUUCUCCGGGUCAGCGGGCCCUCGGCCCCUGACUUUCCGAAGACGAUCUUUUUCCAGAGAGCUGGAGGUUGCGCUUCUCCAACAUUUUCAGAGUUUGUUGGAGGAGACUUCUUUUCCGGCGGAUCCGCAAUGCGGUGUAGAGUUCUGUCGGCGUUUCGAGACAGGGGGGUCCCUAAGCCGACGAGUUAGUGUGCUGCGUGCCCCAGCCCAGAUGGGUCGAGCGCGUGGGCGAGCGCGAAGGGGGGAGAGGCGAGGUGGCCGGAGUCGAGUGUGAGAGAGGUGGAAGUCCCGCGACCUUCGUGUUCGUCCCGCGCCCAGGUCAGGUGCGCUUGCAGUAGGGGGGUUACAAGCGUCCACGCGGGUGAGGGAAGCGAGCGGCCCCAAGAGAGCGCCUGUCCCGUCCUCGGUCCCGCGCGGCCAACCUCCUCUAAGAAGGCCCUGGUCCUCCCUUUUAUAGUCGUAAGGAUAGGAUCCAGGUGUACAAUGGGGGGUGUAGCAGAGUGCUACGUGUCUAGCGGAGCGAGAGCUAGCGCCCUAGGUACAUGCCAAUGUGGCAGCCGGAGAGAUCUGGGCACCCUGCUGGCGUGAUGUCGUGGCUGUCGGAGGUGCGGCGGAGCCUGGCGGAGGGACAGCUGUUGGAGCGGUCGAGUCCCUGCUGACGUCGUCCUGCUUCCGUAAGAGAGCUGGGGGCCGCCGUCGUCAUAGAGCUUGUGGAGCGCCAUCAUUGCCCCUCCGGCGGAGCUGGCCGGAUGGGACGCCGGUCUUGUUCUCCGUGACCCGAGUCGAUUCGGGGUAGGAUGAUGAUGGCGCUUCCUGUUGACGUGGCGGUCUGUGCCCUAGGCAGGGCGACGUGGGGGUUCCUCCGAAGCCGAGGUUGAGUCUGUCUUCCGUUGCCGUGGCCGAGCCCGAGCCAAGGGGUCGGGCGAGGCGGAAGUCGUUCGGCCGAGGCCAGGGCGGAGUCCGAGCCCUGGGGUCGGGCGAAGCGGAGUUUCGUCAUCUUCCGGGUGUUAGCCCGAGUCCGAGCCCUGGGGUCGGGCGGAGCGGAGUUCGCCGUCUUUCGGGUCUUAGCCCGAGUCCGAGCCCUGGGGUCGGGCGGAGCGGAGUUCGCCGUCUUCCGGGUCUUAGCCCGAGUCCGAGCCCUGGGGUCGGGUGGAGCGGAGUUCGCCGUCUUUCGGGUCUUAGCCCGAGUCCGAGCCCUGGGGUCGGGCGGAGCGGAGUUCGCCGUCUUCCGGGUCUUAGCCCGAGUCCGAGCCCUGGGGUCGGGCGGAGCGGAGUUCGCCGUGGCGCCUUUGGCAAGGCCUGACUGCCUGUCAGACUCACUCUGUCGAGUGGCACUGCAGUCGGAGUGGCGCAGGCGGCGCUGUCCUUCUGUCAGACUGGCCAGUGGAGCGGUGGAGUGACGGCGGUCACUUCGGCUCUGCCGGGGGCGCGUGUCAGGAUAAAGGUGUCAGGCCACCUUUGCGUUAAAUGCCCCUGCAAUUUGGUCAGUCGGUGUGGCGAUUUAGUCAAGGUUGCUUCUGAGCGAAGCCAAGGCCUCGGGCGAGCCGGUGAUGUGUCCGCCAUAAAAGGGGGGCCUCGGGCGAGACGGAAGUCUCUCGAGGUCGGCUGCCCUUGGCCGAGGCUAGGCUCGGGUGAAGCGUGAUCGAGUCACUCGUGUGGACUGAUCCCUGACUUAAUCGUACCCAUCAGGCCUUUGCAGCUUUAUGCUGAUGGGGGUUACCAUCUGAGAAUUAGGCGUCUUGAGGGUACCCCUAAUUAUGGUCCCCGACAGUAGCCCCCGAGCCUCAAAGGGAGUGUUAGCACUCGCUUGGAGGCUUUUGUCGCACUUUUUUGCAAGGGGACCAGCCUUUCUCGGUUGCAUUUCGUUCCGGUGGGUGCGCGCGAGCGCACCCGCCGGGUGUAGCCCCCGAGGCCUCGGAGGAGUGGUUACACUCCUUCGAGGUCUUAAUACCUCGCGUAACGCUUCGGCUGGUCUGGUCGUUCCCUCAUGCGAACUGGCCGUAGCCCGGGUGCACGGUCGGGGCCCAAGCUCUCGGGCUGGUAUGUUGACGCUGUCAACGAUUUGGCCGGAGCCGGUUUUUGCGAGAGCAGCCCCCGAGCCUCUGCACAGGGCGAGAGGACGAUCAGGGACAGACUCGACUUUUUACAUACGCCCCUACGUCGCCUUUCCGCAAGGAGGAGGGGGGAGUGCGCCAUGUUACCCUCGAUGGGCACCGAACAUGGUGUCUCCGGUGAGCUGCAAGCGGGUAAUCCGAGUGGACGUCCGUGCCCCGUUCGUUGGGGGUCGGCUAGGGGCCCAGAGGCACGCCCAAAAGUACCUGCGGGUGAUUUGCCGGACCCGGUCCCCUGGCGACGGGGUCCGAGGGCUCGAUGCCUCCCUCCGAUGGGAUUCCGUUACAAGAUCGUUCCCGCUGGUCUCGGAAAUGUCCUAGGGUACCUCGGGAGCGCAGCCCGAGCCUUGGUUAUGUAUCGAACGUACCCCUGGUCAUCCCUCGCUCGGUGUCUGAGGCGACUGUGAACCCUUCGGGGGCCAGCCUUCGAACCCCUGAUCAGUAAUGGGCGCGGAGCCCGAGUAGCCUGAGGCAGCCAUGGAACCCUUCGGGGGGCUGGCCUUCGAACCCCUGACCAGUAGUGGGUGUCGGGCCCACGCGAUCUGAGGCGGCUGUUGAACCCUUCGGAGGGCCAGCCUUCGAACCCCUGAUCAGUAGUGGGGGGCUCGGAGCCCGGUUCCUUCGCGGAGAAGGAUCCCUUUCGGGGUAUCCUCCUUUCCCGGUCCCUGUUGCAAGAGAUAGAGAAAGAGGAAAACGGAAAAGGAUACGAAAUCGGACGACGUGGCGUACCUUUUCUGACGCGGUUAUUAUGGCGAAGGUGAAGCGUCGCGCGCUCCUCCCGUCAGAGACGCCGCCUGUCCCGCCGCGGAGUUAAUGCGACGGGGCGAGUGGUUGGCGGGGUGGCCGUUGCGCGCGUGCGAUCCGUUCGAGGAACGGGUCACGGGUGCACCGUCUCCACGCCGUGAGAGGAGGCUCUCUUGUUGUCCCAGGAUGGGACGUGAGCCUGGCUGACGACGUGACCGCUGCGCCCGCCCGCCUGCCACCGCUAUUACAGCCGGCCCACUUUCGGUCGCUUUGACCGAUGCGCCAGGCUGGCGCUGUUGGGUCGCCUCGAGUCGCGGCAUAGGCUCCGCAACCGAAGAGGCGCGAUGGUGGCACAAGUGGCGGUGCGGUUGCUUGCAUGCAGCAACUGGCGCGCCGGUUGCUCGACACGUGGGCCUGGGUUCCCAAGCUGGCGUGUCAGAAGUCGGAGAAGCGCGUCCGUCUGGCGCGAUUGCAUGCCGCCUGCAUGGCUGCCCGCCCCUUCUGCCCGUUGGUCUGGGCGAAAAUGGGGGUCGCUUGUAACCGCUGGACGGUCGUGCGCACCACGCGCGGCGGUUUGGCUUCUUCUGCCCUGAGCUGGUUUGUAUGACAUGCGGGACCCAGCCUCCGAGUCGCAGGGGAGGGCCUUGGAGCGUGUUGGAGAAGACUCAGCCCGCGGCGCCUGGGGGCGCACGUAGGGAGAGUUGCCUUUAAAAGGAGGGAGACUCCUUUCGGAAGGCAACCAUGUCUUCUUCCUCCCUUAAGCGUCGUGUCUUCCCAUCUUCCAAGCCCCCGGAUGGGGGGUAUCCGCCGCCUUUCCGCCUCCUCGUUGGAGGAACGCAACUCCAUGGGAGUUGGUACCUCUCAGCCAUCGUUCGGCUUCAAAAAUUCGACGCAGAGGGGGUCUCCCCCCUUUUAGCCCCCGAGGGAGGGUCGGGCUUUGCCGAGGCUAGGUCGGCCCUUCCUUGACGACUAAACUUUGCGUAGGUGCGAGGUAUAUGAACAACUUGAAAACAUCUUAAGGGUAGAAGCGACGUAGCUGUUCGAUGUUCCAAGCGUUGCCGUAGAUCUCGCCUUGAUUGUUGGCCAGCUUGUAUGUUCCGGGCUUCAGAACUUUGGCGAUGACGAAUGGCCCUUCCCAGGGGGGCGUGAGCUUGUGCCUCCCUCGGGCGUCUUGUCGCAGCCGAAGCACCAGAUCGCCCACCUGGAGUUCUCGGGACCGGACCCCUCGGGCGUGGUAGCGUCGCAGGGACUGUUGGUACCGCGCCGAGUGUAGUAAGGCCCUGUCCCGAGCUUCCUCCAGCUGGUCCAGCGAUUCCUCUCGGCUAGCUUGGUUGCUUUGUUCGGUGUAGGCCCUCGCCCUCGGGGAGCCGUAUUCCAGGUCGGUGGGCAAGAUAGCUUCUGCCCCGUAGACCAGGAAAAACGGCGUGAAGCCCGUGGCACGACUCGGCGUCGUCCUUAGGCUCCAGACCACCGAGGGGAGUUCCUUCAUCCAUCGCUUGCCGAACUUGUUGAGGUCGUUGUAGAUCCGAGGCUUGAGCCCUUGUAGAAUCAUGCCGUUGGCACGCUCUACCUGCCCAUUCGACAUGGGAUGAGCCACGGCGGCCCAGUCCACCCGGAUAUGGUGAUCCUCGCAAAAAUCCAAGAAUUUUUUGCCGGUGAACUGGGUGCCGUUGUCGGUGAUGAUGGAGUUCGGGACCCCGAAGCGAUGGAUGAUGUUGGUGAAGAACGCCACCGCCUGCUCGGACCUGAUGCUGUUCAGAGGUCGGACCUUGAUCCAUUUGGAGAAUUUGUCGAUGGCGACCAGCAGGUGCGUGUAGCCCCCGGGCGCCUUCUGCAAGGGACCAACGAGGUCCAGACCCCAUACAGCGAAGGGCCAGGUGAUGGGUAUUGUCUGCAGAGCUUGAGCGGGCAGGUGUGUCCGCUUCGCAUAGAAUUGGCACCCUUCGCAGGUGCGGACAAUUCUAGAGGCGUCAGCCACCGCCGUUGGCCAGUAGAAGCCUUGCCGGAAAGCAUUUCCGACAAGGGCUCGGGGCGCUGCGUGGUGGCCGCAAGCCCCCGAGUGUAUUUCUUGCAGCAGUUCCCGACCCUCGGCGAUGGAGAUGCAUCGCUGGAGGAUGCCCGAGGGGCUGCGAUGGUAGAGCUCCUCUUCGUCGCCCAGCAAGACGAAUGACUUGGCGCGUCGCGCUACCCGCCGAGCCUCGACUUGGCCGAGGGGUAGCUCUCCUCGACGGAGAUAUUGCAGGUACGGGGCCUGCCAAUCUUGAUCUGGCGUGGCCCCGCUCUGCCCUUCCUCGACGUUCAGCGCCUCGCCCUCGGGGGCCGAGGGUACCUCGGGCUAUGCCGAGGGUACCUCGGGCUGAGCCGAGGGUACCUCGGGCUCGGGCGCGUCGUCGAGCUUGACGGAGGGUUGAUGCAGAUCCCGGGAGAAGACGUCCGGGGGGACUGUCGUUCGCCCCGAGGCUAUCUUAGCCAGCUCGUCUGCGGUUUCGUUGUAGCGCCGAGCGAUGUGGUUGAGCUCGAGCCCGAAGAACUUGUCUUCCAGGCGCCGAACCUCGUCGCAGUAGGCCUCCAUCUUCGGGUCGCGGUAGUGGGAGUUCUUCAUGACUUGGUCGAUGACGAGCUGCGAAUCACCGCGGGCGUCGAGGCGUCUGACCCCUAGCUCGAUGGCGAUCCGCAAUCCGUUGACCAGAGCUUCGUACUCGGCCACAUUGUUGGACGCCGGGAAAUGGAGGCGCAGCACGUAGUGCAAGUGCUUUCCGAGGGGCGAGAUGAAGAGCAGGCCCGCGCCGGCCCCCGUCUUCAUCAGCGACCCGUCGAAAAACAUGGUCCAGAGCUCCGGUUGGAUCGGAGUCGUUGGCAGCUGGGUGUCGACCCAUUCGGCCACGAAAUCCGCCAACACCUGGGACUUGAUGGCCUUCCGAGGGGCGAACGAGAUCGUUUCGCCCAUGAUUUCCACCGCCCACUUUGCGAUCCUGCCCGAGGCCUCUCGGCACUGGAUGAUCUCCCCCAGGGGGAAGGAUGACACCAUAGUUACCGGAUGAGACUCGAAGUAGUGUCGCAGCUUCCGCCUUGUCAGGAUCACAGCAUACAGCAGCUUUUGAACUUGUGGGUAGCGGAUCUUAGUCUCGGACAGCACUUCGCUGAUGAAGUAGACCGGCCUCUGAACGGGCAAUGCAUGCCCUUCCUCUUGCCUUUCGACCACAAUCGCGGCGCUAACCACCUGAGUGGUCGCGGCGACGUAGACCAAGAGGGCUUCUCCGUCCGCCGGGGGCACCAAGACAGGCGCCUUUGUAAGGAGCGCCCUCAGGUUGCCGAGGGCUUCCUCGGCCUCAGGGGUCCAAGCGAAACACUCGGCCUUCCUUAAGAGGCGGUACAGAGGCAGACCUCUUUCGCCGAGGCGUGAGAUGAAGCGGCUCAGGGCCGCGAGGCAUCCCAUGACCCUCUGUACCCCUUUUAAGUCCUUGAUGGGUCCCAUGCUGGUGAUGGCCGCGAUCUUCUCCGGGUUGGCUUCGAUGCCUCGCUCGGAGACGAUGAACCCUAGGAGCAUGCCUCGGGGCACCCCGAAGACACACUUCUCAGGAUUAAGCUUGACUCCUUUCGCCUUGAGACACCGGAAUGUCACUUCAAGGUCGGAGAGGAGGUCGGAAGCCUUCCUUGUCUUGACUACGAUGUCAUCGACGUAGGCCUCGACUGUGCGACCGAUGUGUUCGCCGAACACAUGGUUCAUGCAUCGCUGGUACGUCGCGCCCGCAUUCCUCAAACCGAAUGGCAUGGUGACAUAGCAGUACAUGCCGAACGGCGUGAUGAAAGAAGUCGCGAGCUGGUCGGACUCUUUCAUCCGGAUCUGGUGAUACCCUGAGUAGGCAUCGAGGAAGGACAGGGUUUCGCACCCAGCGGUGGAAUCCACGAUUUGGUCGAUGCGAGGCAGAGGGUAGGGAACCUUCGGACAUGCUUUGUUGAGACCAGUGUAGUCUACACACAUCCGCCAUUUCCCCCUUUUCUUCCUCACAAGCACAGGGUUGGCAAGCCAUUCGGGAUGGAAUACCUCUUUGAUGAACCCUGCUGCCAUUAGCUUGUGGAUCUCUUCGCCAAUCACUCUGCGCUUCUCCUCGUCGAAUCGGCGCAGAGGCUGCCUGACGGGUCGGGCUCCGGCCCGAAUAUCCAGCGAGUGCUCGGCGACAUCCCUCAGUAUGUCGGGCAUGUCUGAGGGACUCCACGCAAAGACGUCGGUGUUUGCGCGGAGAAAGUCAACGAGCACUGCUUCCUAUUUGGGGUCGAGCCCGGAACCGAUCCGGACCUGCUUGGUGGUGUCGCCACUGGGGUCGAGAGGGACGGCCUUGACCGUCUCCGCUUGGCUCGAAGUUGCCGGCAUGGCGCUUCACGUCUGGCACCUCCUUGGAGAGGUUCUCCAGGUCGGCGAUGAGGGCCUCGGACUCGGCGAGGGCCUCGGCAUACUCCACGCACUCCACAUCGCAUUCGAACGCGUGUUUGUACGUGGGGCCGACGGUGAUGACCCCGUUGGGGCCCGGCAUCUUGAGCAUCUUGUCGAAGAGGUUUGCACCUCCGGGGGGCUUCCGAGGGUUCUUAUACUCGGCGGCGGCGACAAGGUCCGCGUCAGCGGCAUCGCGUUUCGAUUGCGACUUCUUCUUGCCUUUCUUCUUGGCGCCGCGUGGAGCAGACGCCUCGGGAGCUCCUUCCGAUGGGCAGCCCUGGGGCUGCUUGUCCUUUCGGAAGAUAGCCUCGACCGCCUCCUGGCUAAAGGCGAACUUGGUGGCGAUGUCCAUCAGCUCGCUCGCCCUGGUGGGGGUUUUGCGACCCAGCUUGCUCACCAGGUCGCGGCAAGUGGUGCCGGCGAGGAACGCGCCGAUGACAUCCGAGUCGGUGAUGUUGGGCAGCUCGGUGCGCUGCUUCGAGAAUCGCCGGAUGUAGUCCCGGAGCGACUCCCCCGGCUGUUGCCGGCAGCUUCGAAGGUCCCAGGAAUUCCCGGGGCGCAUGUAUGUGCCCUGGAAAUUGCCAGCGAAGGCUUGGACCAAGUCGUCCCAGUUGGAGAUCUGCCCCGGAGGCAGGUGCUCCAACCAGGCGCGAGCAGUGUCGGAGAGGAACAGGGGGAGGUUACGGAUGAUGAGGUUGUCGUCGUCCGUUCCACCCAGUUGGCAGGCAAGGCGGUAGUCCGCGAGCCACAGUUCCGGUCUCGUUUCCCCCGAGUACUUCGUGAUAGUAGUCGGGGGUCGGAACCGGGUCGGGAAUGGCGCCCGUCGGAUGGCCCGACUGAAGGCCUGCGGACCGGGUGGUUCGGGCGAGGGACUCCGAUCCUCCCCGCUGUCGUAGCGCCCCCCACGCCUGGGGUGGUAGCCUCGGCGCACCCUUUCGUCGAGGUGAGCCCGACGGUCGCGUCGAUGGUGCUCGUUGCCGAGGUGGCCCGGGGCCGCAGGCGCGGUGUUGCGCGUGCGCCCGGUGUAGACCGAGGCUUCCCGCAUGAAUCGGGAAGUCGCGGCAUGAGGUUCCGAGGGAUAUCCUUGCCUUCGGGAGGCAGUGCUCUCGGCCCGUCGGGCCGCAGCGCCUUCCAGGAGAUUCUUGAGUUCCCCCUGGAUUCGCCGACCCUCGGUGGUUGACGGCUCCGGCAUCGCGCGGAUGAGCAUUGCUGCGGUUGCCAGGUUCUGACCAACCCCGCUGGAUGCGGGCGGCGGCCUGAUCCUGACAUCGUUGGCGACGCGGUGCUGGAGACCUUGGGGCAGGUGACGUAUUUCUCCGGCCAGGGGUUGGCCCACCCAUGCCUGUCCGACGUCCCGACGGAUCGGCUCAAGCGCUCCUGUUCCCUCGUUGAGCCUGGCCUGCGCCUCGCGGACUUGCUCGAGUUGUGGGUCGUAACCCCCCGCCGGAGCGGGGACCACAGCUAGCUCCCGUGGGAUGUCGGCGCGAGGCACCGGCCUAGGGAGAUCACCGUCCUCCGGCAUGCCAAGAUGGUUGCCUUCGGAGGGAUCCCCUAGCUCGAUGUGGAAACAUUCGCGGCUUGGGCCGCAGCUCUCGUCGCCAAGGCUGCGGCUUCCAUCGGAACAGUCGGAUAGGCAGUAGUCACAUGCGGUCAUGAAGUCUCGCACGGCACUGGGGUUGCCAAGUCCGGAGAAAUCCCAUCCGAUGCUGGGAUCGUCAUCUUCCUCGGACCCAGAGGGCCCGUAGGUCGAGACGUCCAUCAGUCGGUCCCAAGGCGACCGCAUACGGAACCUCAGUGGGGUUGCACUCGCCUCAAUGCGAGCGCCCGCCAAAACGAGGUCGUUUGGCGGGUUGAGGCCGAGUCGAAAUAACGCAAGAUGGGAGUUAGUCGGUACCUUUUGGUCGACGAGGAGCGACGUAGUCACAUCGAGGACUGGUUGCACCGUCUUCUCUGGUUCGAGGGCGACGUCCUGCAGGCUUUCCGCGAGCGCGCCGGCGUCGUCUUCUUGCUCGGGGUCAGCGUGCCGCGGGGGGACGGCGCUUGCCCCCGUUUUGAACGCGAGGUCGACGUCCGGCGUGCCUUCCGUCGGGGCGUCGGGGCGUCGAUUCGCUCGACGACCGACGAAGCGCGGCCUCCCACCUGGCCUUGACGGCCCCGCCUCCUCCUCCGUUGGCGGGGGAGAGAACGGAGCGAGCCCGAAUGUUGCCUUUCCACCACGCGGGGAAGACGUCGUCGAUUCCGCCGCCGGCGGGCGGGUUGUCGGCCGCCAUUGUCGUAGUCGCGCGGCGGUGGAAGAAGUAUCAUGUCGUAGCUGCCGUCGAAGGACAUGAACUCAAGAGUCCCGAAACGAAGCACCGUCCCGGGCCGGAGAGGUUGCUGGAGACUGCCCAUCUGGAGCUUGACGGGGAGCUGUUCGUCAGCACGCAGCGUGCCCCUACCUGGCGCGCCAACUGUCGGCGUUUCGAGACAGGGGGGUCCCUAAGCCGACGAGUGAGUGUGUUGCGUGCCCCAGCCCAGAUGGGUCGAGCGCGUGGGCGAGCGCGAAGGGGGGAGAGGCGAGGUGGCCGGAGUCGAAUGUGAGAGAGGUGGAAGUCCCGCGGCCUUCGUGUUCGUCCCGCGCCCAGGUCAGGUGCGCUUGCAGUAGGGGGGUUACAAGCGUCCACGCGGGUGAGGGAAGCGAGCGGCCCCAAGAGAGCGCAUGUCCCGUCCUCGGUCCCGCGCGGCCAACCUCCUCUAAGAAGGCCCUGGUCCUCCCUUUUAUAGUCGUAAGGAGAGGAUCCAGGUGUACAAUGGGGGGUGUAGCAGAGUGCUACGUGUCUAGCGGAGGGAGAGCUAGCGCCCUAGGUACAUGCCAAUGUGGCAGCCGGAGAGAUCUGGGCACCCUGCUGGCGUGAUGUCGUGGCUGUCGGAGGUGCGGCGGAGCCUGGCGGAGGGACAGCUGUUGGAGCGGUCGAGUCCCUGCUGACGUCGUCCUGCUUCCGUAAGAGAGCUGGGGGCCGCCGUCGUCAUAGAGCUUGUGGAGCGCCAUCAUUGCCCCUCCGGCGGAGCUGGCCGGAUGGGACGCCGGUCUUGUUCUCCGUGACCCGAGUCGAUUCGGGGUAGGAUGAUGAUGGCGCUUCCUGUUGACGUGGCGGUCUGUGCCCUAGGCAGGGCGACGUGGGGGUUCCUCCGAAGCCGAGGUUGAGUCUGUCUUCCGUUGCCGUGGCCGAGCCCGAGCCAAGGGGUCGGGCGAGGCGGAAGUCGUUCGGCCGAGGCCAGGGCGGAGUCCGAGCCCUGGGGUCGGGCGAAGCGGAGUUUCGUCAUCUUCCGGGUGUUAGCCCGAGUCCGAGCCCUGGGGUCGGGCGGAGCGGAGUUCGCCGUCUUUCGGGUCUUAGCCCGAGUCCGAGCCCUGGGGUCGGGCGGAGCGGAGUUCGCCGUCUUCCGGGUCUUAGCCCGAGUCCGAGCCCUGGGGUCGGGCGGAGCGGAGUUCGCCGUCUUCCGGGUCUUAGCCCGAGUCCGAGCCCUGGGGUCGGGCGGAGCGGAGUUCGCCGUCUUCCGGGUCUUAGCCCGAGUCCGAGCCCUGGGGUCGGGCGGAGCGGAGUUCGCCGUGGCGCCUUUGGCAAGGCCUGACUGCCUGUCAGACUCACUCUGUCGAGUGGCACUGCAGUCGGAGUGGCGCAGGCGGCGCUGUCCUUCUGUCAGACUGGCCAGUGGAGCGGUGGAGUGACGGCGGUCACUUCGGCUCUGCCGGGGGCGCGUGUCAGGAUAAAGGUGUCAGGCCACCUUUGCGUUAAAUGCCCCUGCAAUUUGGUCAGUCGGUGUGGCGAUUUAGUCAAGGUUGCUUCUGAGCGAAGCCAAGGCCUCGGGCGAGCCGGUGAUGUGUCCGCCAUAAAAGGGGGGCCUCGGGCGAGACGGAAGUCUCUCGAGGUCGGCUGCCCUUGGCCGAGGCUAGGCUCGGGUGAAGCGUGAUCGAGUCACUCGUGUGGACUGAUCCCUGACUUAAUCGUACCCAUCAGGUCUUUGCAGCUUUAUGCUGAUGGGGGUUACCAGCUGAGAAUUAGGCGUCUUGAGGGUACCCCUAAUUAUGGUCCCCGACAAGUUCCCUCUUCAUCUGCUACGGAUGAGAUUGUUCUGAAGCAGAAUACGGAUCCGGGACGGAGGGUGAUCUUGUUGUGGAAGGUGACGGCCAUUGAGCUAGCUUGGAACGUCGACACACCCCCUACCUGGCGUGCCAGCUGUCGGUGUUUUGGGUCCGACCGCACACCCGGGGUUGCCCCUCAAGGUGUUUUUAAGAGUAGGACAGUGUCGACGACUGUAGCAAAAUGGUUCGUGCCAAUUGCACGAGGGACAGUGGACAAGGUUUACAGGUUCGGGCCGCUUAGAGACGCGUAACACCCUACGUCCUGGUGAGUAUGCUGAGUAAAUGAGGUUACAAGAGAGCUCUCUGAAUUGAGAAUGCAGAGAGUUGAAGUGGGUGACUAAGUAAUAGGGUCGAUCGUUCUGAAGGGGUGCCCUCUAGGCCUUAUAUACUCGACCGUGGGGCAAUACACGUGGAUAUGAUAACAAUGUGUAGCUAAAAGAUAGUGAACUGUUUGAGUUUAUCUCCUUGUAGUUCUGCCGACUUAUCCUCGCAUGGCUCCGUUGCAUGGGGGCUCCAGCGCGGGAAAGUCGAAUCUCUGUUGUGGUCGCUUGCUCGACGUUGUGGGCCAUCCGGGUUUGCACCAAUCCGGCCCCAUGUCGAUCUGCUUUGCUGGUUGUCCCUCCCCAGGCCCACGAAAGAAUGACCUUACGAUUUAUUGGGCCCUUGGGCCUUUCGUGAGGUCUUUUACUCUUUUAGUGGACCCGGGGGAUAUCUAUCCCCCACAGGGUGAAUGUUUGAAACCUAAAAAUUAAUCACUUACAACAAAAAUUGAUCACAAAUUAGUCAUUUAGAGCAAGAGGUACAAUAAAUGGAGUUGAAGAGAGGAGUUUUUCUUGCAAUGUGUUGCUCAAAUGAGUGCAGAAUAAACUUAGGGAGCAACACUUAAGGAUUUGAAUGAAGAUCAAAGCAGGAGAACGUUAGAGAGGAAGAGGGGAAACAAAUCGCAAACAAUCAAACACAAAGACACGAGGAUUUGUUUAUCGGAGUCAGAUUCUAAACAAAAUCUACGUCUCCGUUGAGGGGUCCUAAGGGACCAGGUCUCUUUCAACCCUUUCAAGUGAUUCCAAAGAUCAAACUUAAGUCCUCUCACUUUUCUUGAUUGAGAGACUUAAAUCUCCGUGAGGUAUGUCACACACAUCAAAGCCUCUCGCUAGCUUUACAAUGGAUGGGAGUCAAAACUCCAAACACAAGAUCACAGCACACAAUCUCCUCUAAGUCACUCUCACAAGGCACGAUCACAAUUCUAACGAGAACGGCUAUUGCUUGCUUGAUUCUCACUAUUGUGACACUUGGGAGGCUUUUUAUCACUUGGAGUGUUGCUAUUAAAUGUAGCAAUGAGUGCUCAACUCUUGGGUAUUGAAUGGGCUAGUUGGGGUGUAUCUAUAGCCCCAACCACCCAAAUAGUCGUUGGGGAUUAAAACGUUUACAACCAUAUUCUAUACUUGCUAGAGAUGUUAUGAUUGUCCAUGUGUCUACUAUAUCUUCAUAAUCCACUUUCAAUCUAGCUAGUAGGGUGCUCGAGCAGCGGCGACGACGAUUGACAACAAACAUGGUGGAGGUGCUCUCUUGCAUCAAAGACUGGGAAUUGGCUAACCAACACAAGCAACACACUGUGGAGAAGAAAACCAAGGAACUUGAAUCGGCUUUUGAAGCUACGUACCUAGAUGAUGAGCAACAAGUAUCACCAGGGAGCAAGAGAAAGGAGGGAGGAUCUGCAGCAGGUAGCAUUAAUAAGAAGGACAAGUCACUUGUUCUUGAACAAAGAGGGAGGAGCAGCAAGGAACCAUUACCAGGAAGUUCUAGUGCCAAACAAGCUUGAAAUGCUUCUGGUUUUACAUCUAUUUAUGUUUUUUUGUAUAAUAUCUAUGGACAUGUACUGUGAACUGUACUACGAACUUUAUAAGGAGUUGGGUGUACUCUUUUUCUUCCUAGGUUUUCUCACGAGGUAUGAGUUUUUACCUAGGAAGGUUUUUAAUAAGGUAUCAUUGCACUAAGGCUCCAAAUUAAUUAUCUAUUUGGCUAAUUGUCCUGUUCUGUGAUAAAUGUUGAAAUGAUUGUCUUAUGUAGUACAAUGAAAUUUUGAGAUGCAUUGUGUGUAUAAUUCUGUGUUUUCUGUAUAAUUAUGUGAUUUUGUAUUUCUAUUCAUGGUCCGGACUCGGCACGUCAUUGCCGGGCUAACCGUACUCUCGAUCCGGCCCGGCCCACGAAGAUGUUGGCGUGUCGGGUCUAGGCUGCCAGUUUAGCCCGCGUGUUACCCUGACUCGACACGGGAGCGAUAUUCGUGUCGUGCCUGUAUACAGUGCCGACACGCAUAGUUAAAUAUGUAUAGUGGCGAUGAACACGAGCACAAGGGAGAGGAUGAGCGCGGACACGAGUGGAGGUGGAGCCUGAAUGCCAGAACUGGGUUGGUCGUCGUCAGGGUCAGUGCCCAUGGCCUCGAGCAGGAUCACAACCAUCAACGGCAGCAGCGUCAGCGUCACCAGGGGCCAGGGGUGAUGAGGUAGUGGUAUUCCAGCUUGACGUACUUGAGGUUCACCCUGUGGAGGAAGUCC
rnacentral:lncRNA from 1 species